rnacentral:lncRNA from 1 species
GGGAUGGAGAAGGAUAAUAAAAUUGGAAGCAAAGGAAAUAGCCAUGUGAGCACACUGCCCAUAGGGUGUUUGGGGAGUAGAAAAUUUGAGAGGGAUAAGGGGGGAGGCCAGUCAAAACUUCGGGAAUCCCAAACUCCUUUACCUUGUCCCUCCCUAUCUGACUGACUGACUGACUGACUGUCUCUGAAAUACAAGGUAUGCUUAGCAGUCACUUUUGUUGAACGAGAUGGCAUAAGAGUUAGCGUGUUUUUUUUUUUUUCUUUGUGGGGUUAUUACACUUGUUUGUCAGAAGUUUACAAGGCACCAACCACAAUCAUACAGGGCAGUCCCCCUCCACUCUCCAUCCUUUCUGUUAUUUUUGCCGUAAAUUUCGUUGAGUGAUCUCUGGUAUUUAUUAUAACUCCUACCGCUAGCUUUACGAAAGCUUUCACUCUUUCAUUAAGUGGUUUAAAAAUUAAAUAAUGCCCAAAAAACAGCUUGAGUUUUUUAUUGGAAGUGGAAGGUUGAAGUUUGAAGUUUGAACAUGCCUUUGACAUUGCAAAACCUUCUGGUUCAAAACAUCGGAAUUCUCUCGAAUCAUGAACCAAUGCUUGGGGGUUUAAACAUCAAUUAUGAAGGUCAGUUUAAUGAGUACUUUUGUUAAUUUUAAUUCAUAUCGGGUUAAACAGGAGACAUGCUCAUUUUGUCACUGCCUACAUUUACUAUUUCAGUUUUAUCCUGAUUAAUUUGCUAUUAUUGUUGAAAUACUGUAGGUUUUCUUCCAUGGGAAUCCUGAAUAAUUUCCUGAACCAGUCCAUUUGGGUCCUCAGAUUUAUCAGUGGGUGCUGGAUGAUGCAACCCAAAAUGCAGGGGUUGCAAGGGAAAGUCGACAUACACCAUUCACCCAAAGAGACUGGCACAGGGCACCAAAUGCAGAACGGCCGGUGUAGGAGGCAACAAUUUCCCAGCAAACACUGCCCCGAUCCCGAUUUGCAACCCUCCUUACAGUCAACUUUUUAAAGAGGAUGCCAAUCUAUACUGGUGCUCGGCUCGGCUUUUCCCUAGCAGUGUGUGAGCCCAUUUUCACCGUAAUAUGUAUGGACCGGAUCACAGUGAACGAUAUAUAUAAAAAAAUAAAAAAAC